UGUAUCACUAAAAUAAAUUUAUCGUGAAGUAGAAGCAGUGUUUGUACGUCCGCGUUUCGCGAUUUAAACAAGUGAAUUUGCAUCAACUGCGUGCAAUGCAGUCGUUAGAGUCAGUGUUUGUUCGUAAAGUGUUUUGCAUUUUUAACAGUCGUACAGACUGUAUAUAUAAAAGAUAGUAGAGUUUCGCGAAGUAAAUUCAGUGACCGUCCGUUAAUAAAUAACUAUUGCGUAUUAGAGUCAGUGCAUCAUUGAAGAGAAUUUCAAUCUACGGCGAAGUCGACUUACUCAUUUUCAACCACCUACGAAUCAUCCACCCUCAAUGUCGACCUAAAUCGCAUACAAGUGUUUUGCAGCCAUGGCAGAACUUCUUAAGUAUUUAAGCACGUGGAAAGAAAAGCAGGAAUCUCCACCUUCUUUCUUUCGAGAAAAACUGGAAUGUCUUUCGGACGACCUUCCAACGUUGUAUGGACCAUAACGAGAAGAAGCUGGAUGUCGUUAGUACUCGUUACGUUUCCUCUCGUGAUGAAGAAAGAAAAAGAGAGAGAAAUCCAAGGAAGGUCGCUUGAGAAGAUUGAAGCGUCGUUUUUUGUAGAAUUUCUUGACUGAAAUUAAAACCAUCAGAGAAAGAAGGGAUGUAAUGAAAUAAAGGUCUUUUUUUUUCUUGUAAAACGCGUAUAGUUUAUUUCGUAAUAUUUUCCUUUGACGAAAGCGCGUAAUUCUCGCCUUCAUACGUAGGUAUUAGUUCGCCGUUUGGCCCGAUUUUAAAUUAUCUCACAUUCCCUUCAGUUUUGCAAAUAUACAUGUAUACCUAUUUCUCGUAUCAUCGAUUCUCGAAGUCUUUGCGAGGAAAAACAGCUUUUGACAUUUCCGAUACACCGAGGAUUCGCCGUAGGAUUUUCGAGAAACGAGGAGUCAUAUGUAUAUAUAUAUAUAUAUAUAUAUAUAUAUAUAUAUAUAUACAUACAUA